rnacentral:ncRNA from 1 species
AUAAAAUCAGUGAAGAAGAGGAGUAGGAAUGCAAAACAUCUAGAGAGGGAAAUUCGAAGGCUGGAAGAUUUCCUAUGAUAAUUGCUUUUGAAGGUAGCUUCUGAGAUGCUGAAUUGAAGAUGAGUAGAUUUAGCCGGGAUAUCCCGUUAUAGAUAUUAGAGUGUUGGUUAUAUACUGAAAAUAGGGUGGUACCGCGAAACAAGCCAUUUCGUCCCUUUG